rnacentral:rRNA from 2 species
AACUAAAUUUCAACGCGUGUUCCGUUUGAAAUCCACCCUGCGUACCUUUAGCCGUUGCUUCCCCCCGGGCUUGCCGCCCGGGGGGGAGGAAACCCGCAAACGCUUCGCUUUCCAUGGAGUCUGUCUGAGCAAAGAAUUUGAUAUUGAAACGUCAAAAAUCCAAAAAACUUUCAACAACGGAUCUCUUGGUUCUCCCAUCGAUGAAGAACGCAGCGAAAUGCGAUAAGUAGUGUGAAUUGCAGAAUUCAGUGAAUCAUCGAAUCUUUGAACGCACAUUGCGCCCCCUGGCACUCCGGGGGGCAUGCCUGUUCGAGCGUCAUCAAUAGAACCCUCGGGUCGUGGCUCCCCAGCCGGAGCCAUGGCCCGGUCUUGGGCGUGAGGGAACCGUAGUCGGUGCCCUCUGCCCGCAAUCCAUCGGCGGACGUCCUGCGGGGCAAGAGCGUGAUGAAGCGGUCAAACGCGAUUGUCAGCCGGCAUGUCCAGCCACAAACCCCCCCACUCCGGAGUGCUUGCACUCCUCCGUUUGACCUCGGAUCAGGUAGGGAUACCCGCUGAACUUAA